GGUCAGUUAGCUCAGAUGGUUAGAGCAUGGCGCUAAUAACGCCAAGGUCAUGGGUUCAAUCCCCAUAUUGGCCA